rnacentral:rRNA from 1 species
UACAGAGGGUGCAAACGUUGCUCGGAAUCACUGGGCGUAAAGGGUGCGUAGGCGGGUCUUUUAAGUCAGGGGUGAAAUCCUGGAGCUCAACUCCAGAACUGCCUUUGAUACUGAAGAUCUUGAGUUCGGGAGAGGUGAGUGGAACUGCGAGUGUAGAGGUGAAAAUUCGUAGAUAUUCGCAAGAACACCAGUGGCGAAGGCGGCUCACUGGCCCGAUACUGACGCUGAGGCACGAAAGCGUGGGGAGCAAACAGGGA